rnacentral:rRNA from 1 species
UACGAAGGGGGCUAGCGUUGUUCGGAAUUACUGGGCGUAAAGGGCGCGUAGGCGGUGUGUCAAGUCAGGCGUGAAAGCCCCGGGCUCAACCUGGGAACCGCGCUUGAGACUGGCACGCUCGAGUUCGGGAGAGGAUGGUGGAAUUCCCAGUGUAGAGGUGAAAUUCGUAGAUAUUGGGAAGAACACCGAUGGCGAAGGCAGCCAUCUGGACCGACACUGACGCUGAGGCGCGGAAAGCGUGGGGAGCAAACAGG